UUUUUUGAGAAUUUGAUCCUGGUUCAGGAUGAACGCUGGCGGUGUGCUUUAGGUAUGCAAGUCGAUCGGUCUGUAAGACCGAACAGUUAACAAUUCAACAGUUAACCAAUUAACAAAUUUACCAAUUAACUACAAAGUUAAAAGUCAAUAUUGUUAAUUUGUCAAUUUGUUGCAUUCGUUGAAGGUUCUGUCUUACAGACAGAGGCGGACGGGUGAGUAAUGUACAAGAAUCUACCCUCGACCGGAAAAUAACCUGUCGAAAGACGGGCUAAUGUUCCAUGAAGACUCCGGUUUAAAGCGAUUAACUUCGCGGUUGAGGAGGAGCUUGUAUCCUAUCAGCUAGUUGGUAAGGUAAUGGCUUACCAAGGCGAUGACGGGUAGCUGGACUGAGAGGUCGGUCAGCCACAACUGCACUGAGACACGGGCAGUACACCUACGGGUGGCAGCAACUAGGAAUAUUGGGCAAUGGACGAAAGUCUGACCCAGCGACACCGCGUGGAGGAUGAAGGCCCUCGGGUUGUAAACUCCUUUUGCCAAGCUCUUCACGGCUUGGAGAAUAAGCCUCUACUAACUACGUGCCAGAAGUCUCGGUAAUGCGUAGGAGGCAAGCGUUAUCCGGAUUUAUUGGGCGUAAAGGGUGCGUAGGCGCCCCGCCAAGUUUCUAUUCAAAUGCUACGGCUUAACCGUAGAACCGGUAGAAAAACUGGCGGGGUUGAGGAUUGUUCGGGGCAUCGGAACAGUUGGUGUAGCGGUGAAAUGCGUUGAUAUCAACUGGAACACCGAAGGCGAAGGCAGAUGCCUGGGAUUCUCCUGACGCUGAGGCACGAAAGCUAGGGUAGCGAAACAGAUUAGAGACCUGUGUAGUCCUAGCUGUAAACUAUGUCCGCUAGAUUCGGGUCGUAAGAUCCGAGUCGCAGCUAACGCAUUAAGCGGACCGCCUGGGGAGUACGGCCGCAAGGCUAAAACUCAAAGGAAUUGACGGGGACCCGCACAACCAGUGGAGCGUGUGGUUCAAUUUGAGACGAAGCAAAAAACCUCACCAGGGUUUGACAUGCUACCGUUUUAUCCCGAUGGAAACAUCAGGAGAUCUUAUGAAAAUAAGAUGGUAGCACAGGUGCUGCAUGGCUGUCGUCAGCUCGUGGCGUGAGCUGUUCCAUUAAGUUGGGAAACGAGUGCAACCCCUAUCCUAUGUUAAAUAAUCAUAGGAGACUGCCCGAGCUUAGCUCGGGAGGAAGGAGGGGCGGACGUCAAGUCAGCAUGGCCCUUAUACCCUGGGCCACACACACCCUACAAUGGCGAAAAACAAUGGGUUGCAAGACGGCAACGUCACGCUAAUCCCUGAAAUUUCGCCUCAGUUCAGAUUGGGGUCUGAAACCCGACCCCAUGAAGUCGGAAUUGGUAGUAAUCGCGGAUCAGCAGGCCGCGGUGAAUACGUUCUCGGGUCUUGUACACACCGCCCGUCAAGGCAGUAAAGCCGGUAGUAGCAGAACCUCGAUUGUAUCGGGGGAUGCUAAGAUCGGUGAUAAGGCUUAAGUCGUAACAAGGUAUCCCUAGCCGAAGCUGGGGAUGGAUCACCUCCUUU
rfam:Candidatus Levybacteria bacterium RIFCSPHIGHO2_02_FTLL_40_18 rifcsphigho2_02_scaffold_244, whole genome shotgun sequence.